CCUUGGCUUGUUGCUACGAAAGGCCACCUCAAUGAGAUGCCGGUGACAAACCGGGAGGAAGGUGGGGAUGACGUCAAGUCCUCAUGGCCCUUAUGGGUAGGGCUUCACACGUCAUACAAUGGUACAUACAGAGGGCCGCCAACCCGCGAGGGGGAGCUAAUCCCAGAAAGUGUAUCGUAGUCCGGAUUGUAGUCUGCCACUCGACUACAUGAAGUUGGAAUCGCUAGUAAUCGCGGAUCAGCAUGUCGCGGUGAAUACCUUCCCGGGUCUUGUACACACCGCCCGUCACACCAUGGGAGCGGGUUUUACCAGAAGUAGGUAGCCUAACCGUAAGGAGGGCGCUUACCACGGUAGAGAUUCGUGACUGGGGUGAAGUCGUAACAAGGUAGCCGUAUCGGAAGGUGCUGCUGGAUCACU
rnacentral:rRNA from 1 species